UACGUAGGGGGCAAGCGUUGUCCGGAAUCAUUGGGCGUAAAGAGCGUGUAGGCGGCCCGGUAAGUCCGCUGUGAAAGUCCAGGGCUCAACCCUGGGAUGCCGGUGGAUACUGUCGGGCUCGAGUCCGGAAGAGGAGUGUGGAAUUCCUGGUGUAGCGGUGAAAUGCGCAGAUAUCAGGAGGAACACCAAUGGCGAAGGCAGCACUCUGGGACGUGACUGACGCUGAGGAGCGAAAGCCAGGGGAGCAAACGGG
rnacentral:rRNA from 1 species